CAUAAAGAAAAGUGUGGGCAAGGGGAGAGAAGACUUAACUCCAACUUAAAGAUCAAGAGAUCAUCUUGUGGAGAGAAGAUCUAACUCCAACUUAAAGAUCAAACAAUCAUAUUCCAUGAUCAAAACCGUUCAAGAAGAUUUCCGCAACAAUGAAUGGAGAAGAUAGUUAAAGCAUGCAAAACGCUGAGUUGAUGACGUUAAUGAUUCUCUACGUUUAGAACAGUGAGCUGUCAAUCUUCUUCUUUCUUAACUCCAACCUUUUUCAAAUAUAUACUACAAAAAAAGAUCUACUAAGCAAUGCAACGUGUACUUUUUAUUUUAUGAUUAAGCAUGAUGAUAUAUGCUCAUCACCUUUUUGGAUGUUGAACUAAACUCCCUCUCUCGGCAUAUGGAAACGUUCAUGAUUCUACGUUUUGUAAAUAUCUUGUGUUAUGGCCUAUGGGAUCAAGAUAAGCUGUGUUGCUGCACAUCCGAACUUCUUUGUGUUCUACUUCACUUUGGAUCAAAUCACGUUUUGUCAAGGAAAACUGAGAGGCUAAUUUUAUCAAAAAUUGUUCACGUUGAAACAUUUUCUAAUUGUGCCUUAUGGACUUGAUCUGCCUUUAGGGAGUAAUGAUGUUCUGCUACUGGAGAUUAACAUUGAGCAUAUGACUCUGUCAAGUUAGACGUGAUGUGACUAUGUGAGGAAUAUAGUCACAACAAUGAAUGGAGAAGAUAGUUAAAGCAUGCAAAACGCUGAGUUGAUGACGUUAAUGAUUCUCUACGUUUAGAACAGUGAGCUGUCAAUCUUCUUCUUUCUUAACUCCAACCUUUUUCAAAUAUAUACUACAAAAAAAGAUCUACUAAGCAAUGCAACGUGUACUUUUUAUUUUAUGAUUAAGCAUGAUGAUAUAUGCUCAUCACCUUUUUGGAUGUUGAACUAAACUCCCUCUCUCGGCAUAUGGAAACGUUCAUGAUUCUACGUUUUGUAAAUAUCUUGUGUUAUGGCCUAUGGGAUCAAGAUAAGCUGUGUUGCUGCACAUCCGAACUUCUUUGUGUUCUACUUCACUUUGGAUCAAAUCACGUUUUGUCAAGGAAAACUGAGAGGCUAAUUUUAUCAAAAAUUGUUCACGUUGAAACAUUUUCUAAUUGUGCCUUAUGGACUUGAUCUGCCUUUAGGGAGUAAUGAUGUUCUGCUACUGGAGAUUAACAUUGAGCAUAUGACUCUGUCAAGUUAGACGUGAUGUGACUAUGUGAGGAAUAUAGUGGUAUGAGUUUUCAUAAAUUGGACUGGACAAGACUAUUUGAGCCUGAGAACAUGUUCUCAUGAGGUUACUAGAGCUUUUCCUUCU